rnacentral:rRNA from 1 species
UGGGGAAUAUUGCACAAUGGGCGAAAGCCUGAUGCAGCGACGCCGCGUGCGGGAUGAAGGCCUUCGGGUUGUAAACCGCUUUUAAUUGGGAGCAAGCGAGAGUGAGUGUACCUUUUGAAUAAGCACCGGCUAACUACGUGCCAGCAGCCGCGGUAAUACGUAGGGUGCAAGCGUUAUCCGGAAUUAUUGGGCGUAAAGAGCUCGUAGGCGGUUUGUCACGCCUGGUGUGAAAGUCCAUCGCUUAACGGUGGAUCUGCGCCGGGUACGGGCAGGCUAGAGUGCAGUAGGGGAGAUUGGAAUUCCCGGUGUAACGGUGGAAUGUGUAGAUAUCGGGAAGAACACCAAUGGCGAAGGCAGAUCUCUGGGCUGUUACUGACGCUGAGGAGCGAAAGCAUGGGGAGCGAACAGGAUUAGAUACCCUGGUAGUCCAUGCCGUAAAACGGUGGAUGCUGGAUGUGGGGCCCUUCCACGGGCUCCGUGUCGGAGCUAACGCGUUAAGCAUCCCGCCUGGGGAGUACGGCCGCAAGGCUAAA